rnacentral:rRNA from 1 species
GACGAACGCUGGCGGCGCGCUUAACACAUGCAAGUCGAACGGAAAGGCCUGCUUUCCCUUGUGGAUUGCGGGUACUCGAGUGGCGAACGGGUGAGUAACACGUGAGUGAUCUGCCCCCAACUUGGGUAUAAGCCUGGGAAACUGGGUCUAAUUCCCGAUAGGACUGCAGGGUGGUGCCUGUGGUGGAAAACGAUUUUCUAGUGGUUGGGGAUGAGCUCGCGGCCUAUCAGCUUGUUGGUGGGGUAAUGGCCUACCAAGGCGGCGACGGGUAGCCGGCCUGAGAGGGUGGACGGCCACAUUGGGACUGGGAUACGGCCCAGACUCCUACGGGAGGCAGCAGUGGGGAAUAUUGCACAAGGGGCGGAAGCCUGAUGCAGCGACGCCGCGUGGGGGAUGACGGCCUUCGGGUUGUAAACUCCUUUCGACCGCGAGGAAGCCACCUGGUUGGAAGGGUGGUGACGGUAGUGGUAGAAGAAGCACCGGCUAACUACGUG